CAAAUUCAAAGAGAAACAGAGAAAUCUCCGAAUCUUAUCCCAUCCAAGAGGUUUUCUUCUUACCUUUUCAUUUCAGAUCGCAUCUUAGUGGUGAUCCUCGUCUUCUAUGUUUUUUUUCAUUUCAUCUCUUAUAACUCUAGAUUUAGGGUUCCCGGUCUCGUAAUCGUUAAUUGAAUCGGCGGCGAAGGUCUAUGUAUCUCCCGAUCGAUCUUCGCUACCACUAAUUAUUACAAUCAGCUUAUCGCGAUAGUGUUUGAUUUUUGUUUUUUAGAUUCUUCUCUAGGCCUUGCUCGUAAUUGAAUCUGAUUCUGUUUUUUCGUGUUUUUAAGACAGAACCUUGAACUGAAUCAUUUGUCUAUUAUUAUUAUUAUUAUUAUUAUUAAUUUUAUCAGAUACCAUGCCGAAGAACAAGGGAAAGGGAGGAAAGAACAGGAAGAGAGGAAAGAACGAAGCCGACGACGAGAAGCGCGAGCUCAUCUUCAAAGAAGACGGACAAGAAUACGCGCAAGUCCUUCGCAUGCUCGGCAAAAAUUAUUACAAUCAGCUUAUCGCGAUAGUGUUUGAUUUUUGUUUUUUAGAUUCUUCUCUAGGCCUUGCUCGUAAUUGAAUCUGAUUCUGUUUUUUCGUGUUUUUAAGACAGAACCUUGAACUGAAUCAUUUGUCUAUUAUUAUUAUUAUUAUUAUUAUUAAUUUUAUCAGAUACCAUGCCGAAGAACAAGGGAAAGGAUAGAAAGAACAGGAAGAGAGGAAAGAACGAAGCUGAUGACGAGAAGCGUGAGCUCAUCUUCAAAGAAGACGGACAAGAAUACGCGCAAGUCCUUCGCAUGCUCGGCAACGGAAGAUGCGAGUGCAUGUGCAUCGACGGCACCAAGCGUCUCUGCCACAUCCGCGGCAAGAUGCACAAGAAGGUCUGGAUCGCGGCGGGCG
rnacentral:lncRNA from 1 species